UUCUAAGUAGUUUAAUAAGAAUAUAACUUUGAAGAAGUUAAGGUAGGGUUUUAACUUUUGGAAA
rnacentral:tRNA from 1 species